GUUUAAGCCGCCGCGGUAAAACGUAGGUGGCAAGCGUUAUCCGGAUUUACUGGGCGUAAAGCGUGUGCAGGCUGCUUGUCAAGUGGUGUAUGAAAUCGCCCGGCUCAACCGGGCGGGGUUAUGCCAGACUGGCAAGCUAGAGUCUGAAAGAGGGGGGUGGAAUUCCGGGUGUAGUGGUGAAAUGCGUAGAGAUCCGGAGGAACCCCAGAGGCGAAGGCGGCCCCCUGGUUCAGCACUGACGCUCAGACACGACAGCAUGGGGAGCGAACGGGAUUAGAUACCCGCGUAGUCC
rnacentral:rRNA from 1 species